UUUACGUUUCUCUUAUAUGGUUUGCAUUUUUAUAAAAUUUAUUUUGCAAAAAUACUAAUUCAUAAAAUUUUAUAUUCCAUUUUAGGUUUUCUACUUUCUCCUUUUCCAUCUUUUCUUCUUCCACACACUAAAAGCUUCACCAGCCAAAUCGAAAUCUGCUCUCUUGAACCACUUUCUGCUAUUGUUUUGGAUGAUGCUCUGCUUUGAAGACCUUUGCUUGGACCAAGUUCUUUGGACCACAUCUGCUCUCGAACACCACAACCUCAAGGAGCUUUGGGCAUCUUCAAUGUUUACUGUUGUUCUUGAAUUUUACAUUUCAGGGUUUUCUUUUUGAGAGAAUGAGGACACUGAAGCAGUAGCUGAAAAGGUUAAAAAUGGUCAAGCAAAGAAAACUGGCAAUGUUACAAUGAUGAAAGUUGAGAAUAAUACUAUCAUUUUUAGCCUUCAUUAUACUCAUGUAUUGUAUU